rnacentral:rRNA from 1 species
GACGUAGGGUGCGAGCGUUGUCCGGAUUUAUUGGGCGUAAAGAGCUCGUAGGCGGCUUGUCGCGUCAACUGUGAAAACCCGUGGCUCAACCAUGUGGUCUGCAGUCGAUACGGGCAGGCUAGAAUUCGGUAGGGGAGACUGGAAUUCCUGGUGUAGCGGUGAAAUGCGCAGAUAUCAGGAGGAACACCGGUGGCGAAGGCGGGUCUCUGGGCCGAUAUUGACGCUGAGGAGCGAAAGCGUGGGGAGCGAACAGG